CCCUUAGAUGUCCUGGGCCGCACGCGCGCUACACUGAUGCAUGCAACGAGUUUAUAACCUUGGCCUGAAAAGUCUGGGUAAUCUUUUGAACGUGCAUCGUGAUAGGGAUAGAUUAUUGCAAUUGUUAAUCUUGAACGAGGAAUUCCUAGUAAACGCGAGUCAUCAGCUCGCAUUGAUUACGUCCCUGCCCUUUGUACACACCGCCCGUCGCACCUACCGAUUGAAUGGUUCGGUGAAGAUCUCGGACUUCGAUAUUUAUUCUUUAUUGAGUUUAUAUUGUGGGAAGUUAUCUAAACCUCAUCAUUUAGAGGAAGGUGAAGUCGUAACA
rnacentral:rRNA from 1 species